AAGGAAAAGAAGAAGCUUUCAGAUCGAGGGUUAUAAAUCCUGAAACAGGAUCAGGAGUCCAGUAAGUUUACCUAUCAUAAUCAGGAAUAAGAUAUCAGUAAAACUUUUGGUUGACGUGAGUCGUAGGAACUAAAAGUAUCAUCAGGUUCGGCGGCUGACUCGUUUUG